ensembl:snRNA U2 U2 spliceosomal RNA
AUCGCUUCUCGGCCUUUUGGCUAAGAUCAAGUGUAGUAUCUGUUCUUAUCAGUUCAAGGGGAGCGGCCAGGCGUGCGCAGUGCUGUGCGAAAAACAGGCAGUCCAACUUGAGAGGGAUGUCUGGUACAUCCCUCCCCCCUCUGUCCUUUC